rnacentral:rRNA from 1 species
CUCAGAAUCAACGCUGGCGGCGUGCCUAACACAUGCAAGUCGAACGAGAAAGGGUAGCAAUACCUGAGUAAAGUGGCGCACGGGUGAGUAACACGUGACUAACCUACCCUGGAGUGGGGGAUAACUAAGAGAAAUCUUGGCUAAUACCGCAUAAUACCUACGGGUCAAAGGAGCAAUUCGCUUCAGGAGGGGGUCGCGGCCGAUUAGUUAGUUGGCGGGGUAAUGGCCCACCAAGACUAUGAUCGGUAUCCGGCCUGAGAGGGCGCACGGACACACUGGAACUGAAACACGGUCCAGACUCCUACGGGAGGCAGCAGUGGGGAAUUUUGCGCAAUGGGGGAAACCCUGACGCAGCAACGCCGCGUGGAGGAUGAAGUACUUCGGUACGUAAACUCCUUUCGAUCGGGACGAUAAUGACGGUACCGGAAGAAGAAGCCCCGGCUAACUUCGUGCCAGCAGCCGCGGUAAUACGAGGGGGGCAAGCGUUGUUCGGAAUUAUUGGGCGUAAAGGGUGCGUAGGCGGUUUGGUAAGUCUUAUGUGAAAUCUAUGGGCUCAACUCAUAGACUGCAUGAGAAACUGCCGGGCUCGAGUGUGGGAGAGGUGAGUGGAAUUCCCGGUGUAGCGGUGAAAUGCGUAGAUAUCGGGAGGAACACCUGUGGCGAAAGCGGCUCACUGGACCACAACUGACGCUGAUGCACGAAAGCUAGGGGAGCAAACAGGAUUAGAUACCCUGGUAGUCCUAGCCCUAAACGAUGACUGCUUGGUGUGACGGGUACCCAAUCCCGCCGUGCCGUAGCUAACGCGUUAAGCAGUCCGCCUGGGGAGUACGGUCGCAAGGCUGAA